rnacentral:rRNA from 1 species
UACGUAGGUGGCAAGCGUUAUCCGGAUUUAUUGGGCGUAAAGGGAACGCAGGCGGUCUUUUAAGUCUGAUGUGAAAGCCUUCGGCUUAACCUGAGUAGUGCAUUGGAAACUGGGAGACUUGAGUGCAGAAGAGGAGAGUGGAACUCCAUGUGUAGCGGUGAAAUGCGUAGAUAUAUGGAAGAACACCAGUGGCGAAAGCGGCUCUCUGGUCUGUAACUGACGCUGAGGUUCGAAAGCGUGGGUAGCAAACAGG